ensembl:snoRNA SNORD15 Small nucleolar RNA SNORD15
CUUCAGUGAUGAUACGAUGGCAAGUCGGGACGCAGUUGGGUCAUGUUCUGUGUGCCUAGUUUCAGUUCCCUUAAGCAUUGUGUUCUUCAGUUGACGACAUCGAGGCAUUUGUCUGAGAAGG